UGUUGUGUUUAUAGGCAGCCUUGGAGUAUGUUCCAAGACUUGUCUCUUUCUCUUCUCUUCUUCUUCUCUUUAUAAACUCAUGUAAUCUCUUAUGA
rnacentral:sRNA from 1 species